AAAUUAUGUAUGUGAGAUACAAUAUGUAACACAGAACUUUUUAAUAUCCUACUUUUAUUUUUACUGCAAGAGACAGCAGUUACUGCACAUAAUACAAUCAAAAAUAUCAAACAGGAUUUAGGCUCCAUUGAUGAAGAACACAAGGGAUUGAGGGACUAUAGCUAUUGAAGCACAGGAUUUAACAAUUGAGGACUGAAUCAGCUAUUUCAGCAAAUGCCAGCUAGAACUCAGAAGAUAGAUAAACCUUUCCUCUCCAACAAAGUUGAUUAGCAUGUGAUGAUCAUGUGAUUAAGCCUUGCAUCAGAGCACAAGGGUUACUGUGAAGUAUUUUUCACACUUCAUCUUGAACAGUUGCAACUCAAGCUGUUAAAAGAUGUUACAAUGGUACUAAACUAUGACAUGGCUAAGAGUAUAGAGGACUACACUCAUCGUAUAGGUAGGACUGGCCGAGCUGGUAAAACCGGUUUGGCAAUCACUUUCCUAACUAAAGACGACUCUGUGGUAUUCUAUGAUCUGAAGCAGCUACUGCUUGAGAGUCCUGUGUCCUCCUGUCCCUCCGAGUUAUUGAAUCAUCCUGAUGCACAGCAUAAACCUGGUACUGUUGUACAGAA